rnacentral:rRNA from 1 species
UACAGAGGUGGCAAGCGUUGUUCGGAAUUACUGGGCGUAGAGGGCGCGUAGGCGGUCUUGUAAGUCUUGUGUGAAAUCCCUCGGCUUAACUGAGGAACUGCACAGGAUACUGCGAGACUUGAGUUCGGGAGAGGGAAGCGGAAUUCCGGGUGUAGCGGUGAAAUGCGUAGAUAUCCGGAGGAACACCGGUGGCGAAGGCGGCUUCCUGGACCGACACUGACGCUGAGGCGCGAAAGCUAGGGGAGCAAACGGG